UGUAGCUCAGUGGUAGAGCCCUUGCCUCACAUGCAUGAGGACACGUAAGGCCCUGGGUUCAAUCCUCAGCA
rnacentral:tRNA from 1 species